rnacentral:ncRNA from 1 species
GAAAGCCGUAUGAGGCGAAAGUCUCACGUACGGUUUGGAGUGGGGGAAAAGGCAGAGAUAACAUCAAAGCCUGACCUAUCACUAC